GGGUAGCUCAGUUGGUUAGAGCGUGGUGCUGAUGACCCCAAGGUUGUGGGUUCGAUCCCUGUAUGGGGCA